UUUUUACUAAUAUUUAACCUAAAAUGUCCCUUGCCGCAGAUUAAGUCCAUUACUUCUAGUUGUAUCUUCAGUGGACGUGGAGAACAACUGAUUAACAUCCUCUUUAUAUCAGGUCCCCACCUUUAGUCAUCUUUUCUCAAGAUUGAACAUGCCCAGUUUUUAGCGCCUUUCCUUCAUUGGUCAGGUUUUCUAAACUUAUUUUUGUUGCUCUUUUCUGGAUUCUCUCCAGUUUGUUGACAUCUUUCCUAGAGUGUAGCCCUCACAACUGGACACAAUACUACAGGUAAGUCCUCACCAGUGCCAAUUAGAGUGGGACAAUUACAUAUAACGCUCCAAUAAAUACAUCCCAGAAUGGUAUUAGCCUUUUUUGCAAUUGCAUCGCUUUGCUGACUCAUUCAAUUUCUGAUCCACUGCAACUUCCAGAUUCUUUCCAGCAGUACUACCAUCUCACCAGUGAUUCUCUAUUUUGUAACCAUGGAUUUGAUUUUUCCUUCUAAGUGUAAUACUUAGCAUUUAUCUUUACUGAAUUUCAUCCUGUCGAUUUCAAACCAAUUCUCCAAUUUUUCAGUCAUUUUGAAUUCUAAUCCUCUCCUCCAAAGUGCCUGCAGCUCCUCCCCAUCUGCACAUUUUAUAAAGCACACUCCACAACAUUAUCCAAAUCAUUAAAUUAAAAUAUUGACUAAUACAGGACCCAAGACUGACAUCUGUGGGUCCCACCUGAUAGGACCUCCCAAUUUGGCAGCAAACCAUUGAUGACUACUUUUUGGGUAUGGUCUUUAAAUCAGUUGUGCUCCCACGUUAUAGUAACUUCAUCUAGACUGCACUUCCCUAGUUUGCUUAUGAGAACGUCAUUGUGAAUGUGGUCAU